AUUGAACGCUGGCGGCAUGCCUUACACAUGCAAGUCGAACGGCAGCACGGGUGCUUGCACCUGGUGGCGAGUGGCGAACGGGUGAGUAAUACAUCGGAACGUACCUUAUCGUGGGGGAUAACGCAGCGGAAGCUGUGCUAAUACCGCAUACGCCCUGAGGGGGAAAGCGGGGGAUCGAAAGACCUCGCGCGAUUAGAGCGGCCGAUGCCUGAUUAGCUUGUUGGUGGGGUAAAAGCCCACCAAGGCGACGAUCAGUAGCUGGUCUGAGAGGACGAUCAGCCACACUGGGACUGAGACACGGCCCAGACUCCUACGGGAGGCAGCAGUGGGGAAUUUUGGACAAUGGGGGCAACCCUGAUCCAGCAAUGCCGCGUGAGUGAAGAAGGCCUUCGGGUUGUAAAGCUCUUUUGUCAGGGAAGAAACACCGGCUCUAACACAGUCCGGGAAUGACGGUACCUGAAGAAUAGCACCGGCUAACUACGUGCCAGCAGCCGCCGUAA
rnacentral:rRNA from 1 species